rnacentral:rRNA from 1 species
UACGGAGGGUGCAAGCGUUAAUCGGAAUUACUGGGCGUAAAGCGUGCGUAGGCGGUGAGUUAAGUUAGAUGUGAAAGCCCCGGGCUUAACCUGGGAACUGCAUUUAAAACUGGCUCGCUAGAGUUAGGUAGAGGAGAGUGGAAUUUCAGGUGUAGCGGUGAAAUGCGUAGAUAUCUGAAGGAACACCAGUGGCGAAGGCGGCUCUCUGGACCCAAACUGACGCUGAGGUACGAAAGCGUGGGUAGCAAACAGG